AAACACCCGUAUGGAACAGGACUUGCUUCAGUGGGGCUUUGGUGCCCACUGAGUCUGCUCCUUGCGUAUGUUGCU
rnacentral:pre_miRNA from 1 species